rnacentral:rRNA from 1 species
ACUCAAAGGAAUUGACGGGGGCCCGCACAAGCGGUGGAGCAUGUGGUUUAAUUCGAGGCAACGCGAAGAACCUUACCAAGGCUUGACAUGCCCUUGAAAGCCGUAGAGAUACGGUCGUCCUUCGGGACAAGGGACACAGGUGGUGCAUGGUUGUCGUCAGCUCGUGCCGUGAGGUGUUGGGUUAAGUCCCGCAACGAGCGCAACCCUUACUUUCAGUAGCCAGCGCGUAAAGGCGGGCACUCUGGAGGGACUGCCGUGGAUAACACGGAGGAAGGCGGGGAUGAUGUCAAAUCAUCAUGCUCCUUAUGUCUUGGGCUACACACGUGCUACAAUGGCUGCAACAAAGCGACGCGACCCCGCGAGGGUGAGCAAAUCGCAAAAAAGCGGCCUCAGUUCGGAUUGCAGGCUGCAACUCGCCUGCAUGAAGCUGGAAUCGCUAGUAAUCGCGGAUCAGCAUGCCGCGGUGAAUACGUUCCCGGGCCUUGUACACACCGCCCGU